AAGACCUUGCGCUUUGGGAGCGGCCGAUGUCUGAUUAGCUAGCUGGUGGGGUAAAGGCCUACCAAGGCGACGAUCAGUAGUUGGUCUGAGAGGACGACCAGCCACACUGGGACUGAGACACGGCCCAGACUCCUACGGGAGGCAGCAGUGGGGAAUUUUGGACAAUGGGCGCAAGCCUGAUCCAGCAAUGCCGCGUGAGUGAAGAAGGCCUUCGGGUUGUAAAGCUCUUUCAGUCGAGAAGAAAAAGCUGCAGUGAAUAACUGUAGUUCAUGACGGUAUCGACAGAAGAAGCACCGGCUAACUACGUGCCAGCAGCCGCGGUAAUACGUAGGGUGCGGGCGUUAAUCGGAAUUACUGGGCGUAAAGCGUGCGCAGGCGGCUUCCUAAGUCAGAUGUGAAAUCCCCGGGCUUAACCUGGGAACU
rnacentral:rRNA from 1 species